rnacentral:rRNA from 1 species
GACGAACGCUGGCGGCGCGCCUAACACAUGCAAGUCGAACGGAGCUUAGAGAGCUUGCUUUUUAAGCUUAGUGGCGAACGGGUGAGUAACGCGUGAGUAACCUGCCCUAGAGUGGGGGACAACAGUUGGAAACGACUGCUAAUACCGCAUAAGCCCACGGUGCCGCAUGACACUGAGGGAAAAGGAUUUAUUCGCUUUAGGAUGGACUCGCGUCCAAUUAGCUAGUUGGUGAGGUAACGGCCCACCAAGGCGACGAUUGGUAGCCGGACUGAGAGGUUGAACGGCCACAUUGGGACUGAGACACGGCCCAGACUCCUACGGGAGGCAGCAGUGGGGGAUAUUGCACAAUGGGGGAAACCCUGAUGCAGCGACGCCGCGUGGAGGAAGAAGGUUUUCGGAUUGUAAACUCCUGUCGUUAGGGACGAUAAUGACGGU